ACAGCAUGCAGGGGGAGGGAGGAAGCAGCAGGGCACUGAGCUGGCUGUGAGCUGAGCUCCCUGGGGCUGCUGCUUCUUCCCUGCUGCUGGAGUCCCAAUACUUCCUGCUUCACAGACUGCUCACUGAUGUAAGUGAGGGGGACAUCUUCAAGAUCGGGAAGAGGAACUGUGACAUGGUGCCUAGCACUAGGCAACUCAGGUGGAGCCCCAUCCAGCCGAAGAGCCCUGGAGACUUAUUGGGCCAAAGUUUUUUCCAAGUUAAACCCCUAUGUGACUCUGCUAGGAUUACAUGGAUGUAACUGAGGGCACAACAUAGCUUGACACACUGUAUGGGAAAUGGUUCCCCAUACCAUUCCAUGCAUAAUAACCCUUAAUGAGAAGCUGAGCAUGUAAAUGGAUUUGAUGGAAGAUGCAUCAUUGGUGAGAAUGUCCACUGUGACUUGGAUGAUAAGAGAUGAAAAUUGUCUGAGAUGAAUGCACUGAAAUGGUGAAAUCUAUUUAUUAGCUCUCACCUAUAUCUUUCUUCUCUUUCAUUUUCUCCAAUGCCAAAGGGUCACCAGGUUGAGUCUUACUUGCCUGCUUAGCAGCUCCCUUCUGUGGUGAAGGUGUAGGAACAUUCUUAACCAUUUCUCUUACUUCACUGACUCCUGUACUCCCCAGCUUAUCAGAGCUACUGGGUAGCACGUGUCUGUUAAAUUUAGCAUUGCAUUUUAGCAAAGCAUCUGUGUCAAAGAUAGGCUGGGAGGACUCAUGCAUGCCUUCCCAGCAGGUAGUGUAGUCUGUUAGUCCACCAGCUUUACCACUCAGUUCAGGACACACACCAUGAAGCCAUCCUCCCCCUGCAAUUGCCAGAAAAUAACAGACAUUUUGAAUUAGACAUCAUUCCUUUUUCUUCAUUUAUUCAACAGAAUGAAGAAAUGACCACAAAGAACAACACAGGCAGGACAUGAAUAAACAUGAUUUUUGCUGACAUUAUGAUAUGUUUCGACUCACAAGAAAGUGGAAAGCAUAUAGUAUCUCCCAACCUUCUCACUACAAGUAACGUUUUUUUUAAUGGUGUAUAUUUUACAGCACAGAUGUGACAUUCCAUAAUCUGGAAAGCUAAUAGAAGUAAAAUGAUUGUCACUUGCCACACUUCUUUUAAGAUUAGAUCCUUUUACCCAUAUCUGUGAUCAUUUCAGCUAAUCUUUAGAAGUGCCUCUUUCCUCUGCCACACUUGUCUUCUGAGGUUGGGAGGUAUGUCAGUUUGAUACAAAUAGAGUUAGAAUGUUGAAAACAUACAAUUUAUUCUGGUUCAGUGAGUUCAUUAGUCUCCUUAUGUUAGUUCAGGCAAAACAGAAAUAGCUCAUCAACAGUAUGGAGGAUGCACAGGGCUUUAGGAGGUUUACAGAAGAGAACGACAGCAUUAUUAGUAGGUUCAGGUAUGAAAAUAAAUCAAGCCCUUAGAUUUAGGAACUGACUUCACGCAGGAUGAUGUGUAUUAGAGGUGAUUUAUAUCACAAUAUGAAAUUAGAUUGGCAUUCCAUUUUUCAGCGUAACUAUGACGUGAACUUAACAGAGUUUUCAUACAGUGGUUCAUGAAUAACAUCUGAGGAAGCCUGGAUGGUGAAGAUGAACAAUCUACAAGUGCGCAGUGACUGAGUGACUGUAAAAGUAUGGCUGUGAAGCAUUAUACAUGAUAUGACCAAUGGGAAAAUCAUUAUCUGUGAACAAUACUGUAAAACAAUAUAAUUAGUUACAAAUAAUUACUAAAAAAAAAUUUCUGGAAUCAUUCAAUUUUUUGUUUACUAUUGAUCAUGGCAAUGGAACAUAGCUUACCAAUGGCUGCUUUGACUUCAAUAGCCUCUGAUUCCUGUGAAUAUUCACUGAGUCCAGCUGCAUUAACAGCUCUGACUCGGAAAAUGUAGUUCUCACCAGUGAGGAGUCCAUGGCAAAUGAAUCUAAAGCAAAACAGUAAAGGAACACUUAGAAAACCCUUACCGCGCUGUAGUGAAUGGAAGUUUCCUACUGACCAGGAUUUCACCCCUUUAGUAGCUAUACUGCAGUGAGACAACAUACAAAGGAGACUUGGAUAUCAGCAAGAAGGCUAAUAUGAAAUUUUAUCUCAAGGAAGCAAGUAGGUUUGUUUCAGUAAUAAUGUCUGGAAAUGACUGUCAAACCGAUUUGUAUGUGAGCAGUUCUUAUGCUAAUUUAAGGAUUCUGUCGCAUAAAAGUGAGGCUUAUGGAAGUGUGCAAACAGAGGUGAAAUAUGGAAAAAUAAAAUGAGCAUGUUACUUUU